CGGCCCCCAGCCCGGAGCCGCCCCCGGAGCGUGGCCACGUCACACGGGACCUGUCCGGAACCCGACGCGCGGCGCGCCGCAGGGUCGAGGGGAGCGGCGGCCGAGGCGCGCUUCCGCCUCGCGGCUGUGGGGGACCCGGGAGGCCCAGGCGCACUUCCGCCCGGGAGGAUCGGGGGCGGAGGGGAGGGCCCGGCGGAAGUAGGAGCCCCAGGAGCGAGGCGCUCAGCCCCCGCUGGGCGGGGCGGAGAGGGCGGCCCCGCAGGGACCGCGAGCCGCUGGGUGGCUGGGCUUGCGGCUCCGGCCGCCGCUUCCUCUCUCGGGCUGCAGUGUCGCCCACGGCCGCACGAGGGCGCGCUCCGCUGCCAGCCCUCGCAGCCCGGAGCCCGGAGCCCCGAGCCCGGAGCCCGGCCGGGGUCGGGGUGGGUGCCUGGCUUGGGCGCUCCUGCUGUGAGUCAAACCGGCCUGGCUCCUCCAUGAACAAGGGAAAGGGGAAGUGCCCGCCGCAGGGAGGGGCCUAGCCUCGGGAACCUCAGAAGAGGGAAUUUUAUUCUUACUCAUCGAAUUAUUUUUAUGCUUUGGUUUUUCACUGGGAACCUCAGGCCUUUGUCUCCAGGGCUUGUAACCCUUUGGGGUCCAAUGCGUGGUGGCUUGACACUAUUGCUUGGAACCCCAAACCUGGGGUAGCUCCCUUUUGUGCUUGCCUCACCUGGAGGAAGGUAGGCCUAACCUCAGACUAGGGCAGCAAACAAUAAAUAGCAUUAUUAUAUCUACAAGUUACUGGACACUGUUGCAUGCCAUUCACUCCAUCUGCAUUAUCUCACUGAAUCCUCAUUCUGCCCCCACUGAGGUGGGUACUGUUAGCCCCGGGGUCACGCAGUGGCACAGAUGGCAGAGCCAGGUUUCCCCCUGGGUGUCCCUGAGCCCAGCAUGUGACAGCACCUCUCACUUCCAGGGAGGUGGGAGUCUAGCUUGGAGGUUCCACAUUGCAUCUUUUGCUGGGACUUCAGCCAAGACUGUAUAAUAUUCAGGAUGGGGCACGUGGAUACCCACUUGGGCAGAGAUUGCGACAGGGUAGGGGUCUCCAAACCUCUGACCCUCAUUCAUCACCCAUGCUGGUUCCCUUCAACUGUCCUGUGUUGCUCUCGCCUACUGGGGGCUCUGAGGGCACAUGACUCACAUACUGCACCUGAUGCCUGUUGACCACACUCCAAUGUGUGCUUUUCUUGGACCUCCAGCUCCUUCCAGGUGGGAUCAGCUUUCCUCUGAAAGCCCCGUGUCUGUCUCACCACACCAAGCCCAUAGGCGAGUUCUGAAGUGGAAGCCCUGGGUUGGUUUUUUUGCAAAGGGAGGAAGACGCUCAGGGAUGCUGCUCUGGGAUGUCAAAGAUGCACCCGCCCCCCCGUAUGCAAAUCACUUAAUCAUAUGCAAAGCACUUCACAAUAUACAAAUGAUUUCACAAUAAGACAGUCAAGUUAGCAUUCCUGCCUCUGGGGGCUGAGGGCUGCUGGCCCCCAGCAAGAGGGUAAGGCAAGACCCAGCCAGAAACGUCACCUGGCUGCCUUCUCACUGUCCUUUCCUCUCACCUAGCCUGGAAUUUCCACCAUCAAACUCCCUAAUGGAGUAAAGAAGCACACUGGGGGGCUCUAGAAGAGGACCAUGAGCAGAGGGGACCAGGUGAAAAGACGGUGUGUGGACUGAUGUGUGCUGUUAAAAGCAAUGAAUUAGAUCUGCCAGGGGCUUCCAGAGGCCUUCUCCUUUUCAGGGCUUUCUUUGGGUCCACAGGCUGGCAGCAACCUCUUGUAGAGAGGCUUCUGAGGCUCAGGGUGGUGAGCUCCUUGCCCCCAUGAAAUGCUCUGCUCUCUUCUCUUUUCCUUGCCGUCCCCGGGGCUGGAGGAGCACAGGCCUCCCCAAGCACCGGGCCUCAGCUUUGCUGCACUCCCAUCUCCUUCCAAGGGUUGAGGCCGGGUGGCCAGAAAUGGGAGGCCCGGACUUGCUACUGCCGAUGUGGAAACAGGGGCAGCUGCAGCCCGGGCGGCUCGGGGCUGGGCACCCCGACCCUGCCCAGAGGGGCCUGAGUAGGCCUGCCAGGCCAGGCCUCACACCUGGGCAGUGGAUGGCCUGAGGUACCCCCACACCAGCAACCCGUCCUUCCCAUACCCAACAGCUUUUGCCAAGUGUGAGGGGCCAGGUGGGGCCAUGGCUCAAGGCCAAGCUGGGGCCCAGGAGGUCAGAGGUCCAGGGAUGGGAGCUCCAGUCCAGGAGUCAGGGUGCAUAGUUUUGGUCUUAACUCUGUUCUUUAUUCACUGAGUGCCUUUGGCCAUCCCUGACCCCCUGCAGGCGUCGGCUUCCUCUUUUGCGUAGUGAUUGUGGCCCCCAUGAUCUAAAAUCUCUUGCCCAUUUCUGCUCCAAUUCUGACAUCCCCCUUGAAUUUCAUAUUUCAAGAGCCUCUGCUUUGGGGACAGGUAGGCACGGAGGCUGGGACCCUCAGAGCAGGGCUUGGCAUAGGCCUUGGAGAGACGAGGGGGAAGGAAAGGGCAUGCCAGGCCGGGGGCCAGACUGGGACAAGGCUUAGAGGUGGGAAGGCCAGGACCAAGUCUGGGAGACGAGGUGUUGAUGGGACAGAGGGUCGUAGGUGACAAGAUUGAUCCAGAAGGAUUCGAAAGUGGGAGAAAGAUUUUAGGAGCCACUUUAUUCCCGCAGACCUGAGGAAGGGGUCUGACACCUCUCCAGAAGUGGUCUUUUGGAGGGUGGGGGCAGGGCCAGUGCUUCCUGUCUAAGAAGGAGAUGGGUACCCGUGUGGUGGGACACGGGAGCCUCAGGAGGGAGCCACAUCUUUCCCCCUCUGUCAGGUGCCUGGAGGGCCACCAUCAGGGCCAGGCCUCAGGAGUUGGCAUUGCCCUCUUCCCGAACGCAUCUUGUUUUGUUUUUAAGCACUGCUAUUGCAAGAAUGGGAGGGGAGAUGACUUUGCUUCUUGUUGACUUUGCUGACAGUGCCUGACCUCUGCAGGAAGAGUUUCCAGGAAGGCCAAGGCAUGAGCCCCCUGGGAACCGACCAGUCCACUGAGUUCAGACACCCUCUUGGUCUAGGAGGUUCUGAGGUGCCCACCUCACAAGUACAAGCCCUAAAUCUCAAGACCUGUGCAACACAGACAGCACAAGCACUGGUUCCAGCCAAAGAGGCCUUGGGGAUCCCAAGACCCCGAGGCCCAGACUGAGGGACCAUCGGGCUGGCCUGGCCCCCACUAUCCUGUCCCGGCACCAAGUGCUGAGUUGGCGGUUCAGCAGCUGCCUCUGCCCACGGAGGCCCAGUUAUAAAUAAGCUCAGUGUGGCCAAGUCAUCAAGUUCUGCCCCAGCUGCAUUACCUCAGUGACCACAGGUUGGGGCUGCCCAGUGCUGGGCCCACCGAAACCUGCCCACCCAGAGAAAGGCCGGGCCAGCUUCCAUGCCUCCUGGGGUCCUCAAAUGCAGGCUUUGAAUAGCUGCAGCUACUCAGGCCCGGGCCUCCCUGGACACAGGCCACAGAAGGGGCAGGGCCCAUCCCGCCUGCACGGAGCCGGCAGCUAUUUACAAACCGAAACUGGGAGAAGUGAAGUGGCUGCGGCCAAGUGGCUCCAGGCCCCCCAGCCCCCACUCCCACUCCAUCCCCAGCAGCCCAUCCCCCUCUCCCCAUGGCUUCCUCUUUCCUUCUCCACACAGCUCCCCAGCCUCCCGCUGCCCGGCCAGCUCUGUCUGGACAACCUGCAGGCACCUCACGGUGACGCCCAACGCCACUGUCACAGGCCGACGGGUCCCUUCUCCUCUGCACCCCCAGGACCCCAUCAGUCUGGACUCCUUGGAACAGCCCCUCCCACCCGGGCCCGGCCGCCCACCCUGGGCAGGCCCAAGGCACAUUCCCACACUUCUCAGUUCCCCUUCAUGCUUGGAAAAGCUCCAACGCCAAUGGCUGCCACCAUGCUGCCCAUCCCUCCUGAGGGUGGUUUCUCUGGGCGUCCUGCAUCUUCACAGGAGCCAAGGAAUCUGGGGUGCUACGGUGGAACUUGGGGCACCCGGGGACUUUGGAGGGCAUGUUUCUGGACAGGAGGACCCAGCCACCGCUCUCCUUGGGUUGGUGUGGGGGACAGGCCCUCGUGCGGUGCAGAGGGACACUGGGCCUGAGGCCGUGGCACACCCGGCUUAGGAAGUGGCAGGCUGGGUGGCCUUGCAGCAGGAGACCACUCCGAGGAGAGACAACAGGCCACAUAAGUGACACUCAUUACUAAUAACAGACCAACUCCCUCACAUUGGUGCAGAGGUUUCCAGUUGACAUCAGUCAGAUCUUUCCAUCCCCAGAACGAGCCUAUCCCAUGACCACCAUCAUAAAGUGGAAACCGAGGCUCAGAGGAGAAACCGCGUGUACGAGGCCCCAUAGCUAGAGAGCGUCUGGAUGGGAUUCAAGGUUUCUUAACACCCUAUUCCCUCUUCUCCCUGACUGCCUUUGGUUCCAUCUUGUACCCCAGUCUCCCUACUGGCAGGACCGAAGUCUCCUAACACUGUGACAAGAGCGAAAGCAGGGCUGGUCUGAUGCUUGAGAGAGAAGCAGGCUUUGGACGGCAUAGUUGUCAGAUGGCCACCCCUGGCCAGGUGUCAGUGCCCAGUGCCCCCGCCUCCUGCCAAGUCCCAGCUGAGCAGAAGCCCUGGCCUGAGUCCCGCUCCGCCAUAGCCAGCUGGCUGGUUGAGUUUCUCCUAACCUCUCUGAGCCUCAGAGCCCCCUCCUGUGAAAUUGGCAUUUCACGAACACCAAGCACCUACUUGGUGCCAGCUCUAUGCUGGGUGCAAGCUGCCUCUGAAGCUACAACAUGACCCCUGGCCACAGUCCUGGGUAGAAGGCAGAUGAGUUACAAAAUUCUGAGAGCUCCCAGAUGGAAAUUGAGGCCUUGGGACACAGAAAGGGAGUGAUGGUGCUCCCAGGGUGCGGAGGGGUAUCACUUGGGAUGGGCCCAAAGGACAGGAAAGAGUUCUCCAGAAAAAGCAUGGGGGACAGACUCUCAUGCUGAGUCACACCCCUGUGCCUUGUAGUUCCCACGGCCUGAGUGCCCUUCCUUCCUCUGGGCCUGGUGAACUCCUACCCAUCCGUCAGGGCCCAUGGGCACACUGGAGAAUGACCAGGCCUGGCCUGGCCUGGCCUGGUGGCUCCUACCUCCUUUCUCCCACCCAGAGCCUAAGCAGAGCCUGAGGCCAGGAGUCUUUGGUCACAACACCCUCGCCAGCCCCACCCGGGCAGGCGUCUGCUCCCGGGUUCCAGCCCCCGCCGUCCCCUGCUCCGAAAAGCACCAUUUCCCUUUUCUGGGUGACCACACGCCAUGCACAGGGAAUUUCCAUCGCAGCCUGCGGAGCCUCUGAUUCACUCAGGCCCCUCAUGCAGUUAACUCCUUCCAGGCCCCGCGCCUUUAGCUCCGCACGCUGGGUGGUACCCCACCCCCACCCAGGGCCCCUGGGUGGCCUCAAACUGGCCUUGGGCCACAGCUCGGAAGUCGAAGUUUCUCCCUAGCCCUACGCCUCAGGAUCCUCCCGUCAUAUGCACAGAGACCUCUUCCCAAGGACUCACGGCAUACACACUGCGCAGCCUUGGGCCCAGAGCACAGGCUUUGGGGUAAAACAAGCCAAAGAGCUUGAAAGAGCUGAGUCUGGCUCUUUCAGUCCUGUGACCUGGAAAAGUGUCCGCUCUGAGCCCCAUUUCUCAUCUGUGAAAUGGAGAUCAUCCCUGUCCCAUAGCCUCGCUGUAAGGAUCCAAUGUGCUGGGCUCGUGAGGACGGUUGUAUAAUUAUUACCUUUCCUUUUUCUUUUCAAAGGGCCCCUCUCAUCCAAUCUCAGGGUCCCUGCUCCAGUCCUGGGCCCCUUUUCUGUCUGGCUUUCCCCUCCUGAGAGCUGACUGCUCACACAGAGAGGGUGAGAGAGAAGUGCCAGGGGGGCAGAGGAGGGAGGGGUGCUAUUGUCAUGGGGCUCUCCUCCAGCAGCUUCCUGGCUCCCCGCAUCUCUCUUUUCCCAAGGAAGCUGUGAAGAGGACCUCUGCUGGGAUCUUGAGCCCGCAGGGACAGGGUGAGCCUUCCUCCCUCUGGAAGAACGCCGGGUGUGCACCCCCCCCCCCCCCCGCACACGAACAUCAUACAUGCUGUCUUGUGGAAUUCUCACAACCUUGUGAGGUGCAGCCUGUUAUUGCCCCCAUUUUAAAGGUGGGGACACGUAGGCCCUAAGAAGGGACUUGCCCUCAGCUACACAGCGACUAAAGGGCAGGGACAGGAUUCAAAUCAAGGUCUCCAGAGCCACACUCCUAAACCUUCACAGGUCCCAGUUAGCGUGUGUGGAGGCCAGUGAGGGAAACGGGCACUAAAUGACCCCCUCCUGUAUAUUAGGUAAAGACCGACAAAUUGUCCUUUCAGUCCUUUGAACGAUUGUGGGAGGCGAGUCUCGCUGACCCCUCUGUGGGAUCGAGUUGUCUGAGCUUCCCUAAGGGGGAGGAACUUGCCCAGAGGCCACACGGCCAAUCGUGGGGAAGGAUCCAGGGGUACCUAGGGAAAGAAGGAUGGUGGAGGGGCUGAAUGGAGAAGGGGCCUACACCUGGAGGAGAAGCCAUCCUAUCUUCAGAGAGCAAACGGGGUUGGGGGGGGGGUGGUGCUGGGAGGUGCUGCCGUGGUGAGCAGAAGGAAGUCACUGUGGGUGGCGGUGGGUUUGAGGUGCCGGAGGCUGAGUGAUGUGGCCGGGAGGUGAGCUCCCAGGCUGCAGGCCUGGUCAGCAAGAGUCAGGGGUGAGGAGGGAUGGCCGAGAUUUGGGCCUUAGAGGAGGUUGGGCUACUCGGUGCUUCUUGGUUGCUGGGGCUGGGGAGCUGGAGGCAGGGGUUGGUGCAGAGCAAGAGGAGAGAUUCAGGGGGGCUGGGGAGAGAUGGAGGUAAGGGGGGAAGGGUGUGUCUGGAGGGCAGCCUAGAGGAGGAGAGCCCACAAAAGACAGAGGCCUUAGGGUGUGGAAGGGGUGGGCCUGUGAGCAAGGCCUGGGAGAUUGAGAAAGAGGUUCUGGGAAUGUUGAGUAGUGUCUUCUGGUUGGAGGUGGGGGUGGGGCUGGUCCACAUGGAUGGGAGAGGGUGCAAAGGUGGGCUGGACUCUGGGUGUUGGGGGCUCCAGCAUAGGCGACAGAGCUGGACUGCACCCUGUGGACAAGCAAGAACCAAGGAGGAUUUUUAGGCAGAGAAAUAUCCGUGGGAGAGACUUGAGGAAGGGACAGCAGCCCCAGGACCACUGCAGUCACCUCCCACCCACUCACCAGCUGUGUGUCCUUGGGUACGUGCCCCCCCCCGCCCACCAGAGCCUCGAGCCUCAUUUCUCAUGCCUGCCUCAUAGGAUUAUGUGAGGGUGGAACCAGUUAAUGCCUGCUCUUUCCCCUUGCCUUUGUCUUGGCCCAAAAAAAAAACAUUAAAAAAAUUUUUUUAAUGUUUAUUUUUGAGAGGGAGAGAGCGUGCAAGCAGGGGAGGGGCGGAGAGAGGCAGACGCAGAAUCUGCAACAGGCUCCAGGCUCUAAGCUGUCAGCACAGAGCUGCAUGUGGGCCUCGAACUCACAAACUGCGAGAUCACGACCUGAGCUGAAGUCCGAUGCUUAACCGACUGAGCUACCCAGGCGUCCCUCACAAGCACUUUCUGAGCGCCUGAGAGAAGGCACCCUUCGUGGGCACCUCCUUUUCACUCAGUCACAAUGAAAUUUCACACAAGGUCUGCCACUAAGCCCUACCUGCCCCAGCCCCUCACACUCUCCCCUCCCGGCACACCAGCCCCCUGCUGGUCCUGGCUCAUACUUUGCAGGGCUGGGGUCCCUGCCCAGGGCUCUUCUCCCAGAGGUCUGCUCAGCUCACUCCCUCACUGGCUCCCAGAGUUUGUUCAGAUCUCCCCUUCUUGGUGAGCAUGGCCUGCCCUGCCUUAGCCAGCUGGCCGCUCUUUUCCUAUAGUGCUGUUACCUGCUAACCUGCAGUGAGAUGCCCUCAAAGACGUGCUCAGCCCUGUCUUUCUUGCUCCAGAACAAACCCCACAAGGGCAGGAGUCUUUGCCUCUUUGGGUCUCCUGGCCCACAGGCCCUGAGUAAAUAUUUGUUGGACGUUCUCAAGCCCUAAAGAGCCAGCCCAGUUCUGGGGAGCUCUGAGGGGCCCAGGCGACACAGACUGGGGCCCGAGGAGCCUCCCCCCGUGUCUCAACCAUGAGAGGAAGUUGCAAGACGGCCAUUUCUGUACACGGGCUCAGCUUUUUUUGGUCAACUUUCCCAGUGCUUGGUCUGAGGCCUCAGUUUUCCCCUAUACUCUGUCAGUCCCUAUAGAGACCAGUUGCUGGGACUGUGGGGAUGGGGCGCCAUUCCCUUAUUUUAGAGCUCUUUUGGGAUGAGGUUAAGGGAUCUGCAAGUUCAAGGUCUUGUCAGCUUCGAGGACGCAGCACCCACGUUUCCUGUUGCCUGCUCACCCUGAGAUUGCAAUAGUCCCCAGUCUACCCCCUCAGCAGCCCAGUCCAAUGAGGGCAAAGGGCCGCCUGGCCUUCCACCACCCAGGCCCGCCUGGCCUCCCUGGCACUCCACAGGGCUGCCCACUUGUCCUAUGGAGUGGGUAAAUAGAACUGUCAUAUGCUGCUGGUAGGAGGGAAAGUUGUUACAACUUUCAUCGAGGGCAAUAUGACAGUAUCUCUAUCUCAAAAUUUAAAGUGCGGGACGACUAGGGGCCCCUGGGUGGCUCAGUUGGUUAAGCGUCCAACUGGCUCAGGUCAUGAUCUCACUGUUCACGGGUUCGAAACCCGCAUUGGACUCCGUGCUGACAGCUCAGAGCCUGGAGCCUGCUUCCGAUUCUGUGCCUCCCUCUCU